AAGUUAUUGAGGAAAAACCUCAUUUUAGUUUCGUUUGUCGCGAGCGAGGGGUGUGAUCGUUUAUAAAUCGCGGGAAGUGGUUUUCUCGCAUUCCGGCAUUAUUUAAAGGUGGGUUGUCACGACCCGCGACCACCCGCCUAUUUGGCCGAGGUCGCGGCGCCGACAGCGCCGAAUGGACAGAGUUUUCCCUGUACUACGGACAGAGUCUCCCCUGUACAUUCAAGGCAUCGCAAUCAAUACAAUACAAUGGUCCCAACGAGGAACAGUAUUCAACAAACAGAUUGCAUAAGGAAGGUAUCAACAACAUAUCACAUCCUAUGUUAUUACAUACAUGCACAUUCAUUGGUUUUACAUCACAAUUCUCAUUUGCUUUCCUCCAAAUACAAUCUAGUUAUUACAAACUUAUCUACAAAUUGAUACAUUGUGUUCUCUUCAUUUUCUAUACCCCUAACCACGUCGACGGGGUACUGCUAGCUCUGGUCUCUGGGUAGGACGCUAUCUACUGAGCUACGCCCUUUCCUCGCGCCGCCGCGCCGCUCACGUGCGAACCUGUAACACCCCAAAACAACGUGGGGUGAGAACCAACUCCAUGGUUCCCAGUGGGUACGGCCACCCAAGGGAAAAGCUCGACCAAAAGGUCUAAGUAGGCCCUGCAACAUGUUAGUUCAACAAUAUACAAUGCAAAUAUAUUCAAUUGAAAUACAUGUUAGGCCUAACAAUAUGCAAUAUGCAAGUCAUGCAACUCUAUGCAAUAUCUAGUAGAUCAUUUGAAUUCUACUUUUACUUAGCUACCUUAGCUCACAUUUCUUUACUCUAAGAUUUCUAUUACCUCAGUUCACAACUAAAGUUCACUUUGUUUCUAAGGUCUCUAUUACCUUAGUUCUUACCUUUAUCACUGGCUUUCAAGGUUUCUAUUAACCUAAUCAAGCUAACCACCCGACUCGGUCUCGAGUCAAUCAUCCGCGGAUAGUCCGCGCACUGGCUGCCCUCUAAGACUUAACCAGCUGGCGGCGAAGUCGUCGCACACGCCGAACACUGGUUCAAGUCCCUCGACUUGGCCAUCUGGCGGCGAACGAAUCGCACCUCACCCAACAAUGGCUCAAGUCGAUCUGGCGGCAUAAUCCACAACUUGGCUUAACCAUCCGGCGGCGAAAUCGUCGCACAUGCCACGACAAUGGUUCAAGCCCCGGGCGGUGAUCUCUGCACAUUCACCCCCAAUCCAUCCUUGGUAUCAACCUCGGCGGCGAAAUCGUCGCACACGCCCUAGCCUUGAUACCA
rnacentral:lncRNA from 1 species